rnacentral:rRNA from 1 species
GACGUAGGGUCCAAGCGUUAUCCGGAUUUACUGGGCGUAAAGAGCGCGUAGGCGGUCUGUUAAGUGUAGAGUGAAAUCUCUGGGCUCACCCCAGAAACUGCUCUGCAUACUGGCAGACUUGAGGGAUGCAGAGGUUUGUGGAAUUCCUGGUGUAGCGGUGAAAUGCGUUGAUAUCAGGAGGAACACCAAUAGCGAAGGCAGCUCGCUGGGACGUUACUGACACUGAGGCGCGAAAGCGUGGGGAGCGAACAGG